GGGAACUCUUAAGGACAGGAAUAGGCAGAAUGAGCGGAGUGUGCUCUCAAACACCAUACCCAUAGCCUUCCAAGCAUCCUCUCCUCUCCCUUCCAUCUUGUAUCCAUUCCAUCUUUUGUAAUCAUUCCAGAUCAACAAAGAAGUUUUUCAUUUUGUCUUAAUCCCCUCUCAUUUGGCUCUCCGGGAAGUUCCCCAAGGAGGGAACGGCCACCCUUUUAUCUUAAAGAUGAGGCCCUCAGGCCAGCAACAAUCAUCAGAUCUUCUCACCAGUGAAGCCAGACGCCCACAACAAAGGCUAGAUAAGGCAAAAUUUGGGUUUAAGCCUAGUCAUAUAUCAGACCUCAAACCUGUCUUAUAGACCAAAGGCUCAUCUGGGCCGAAAUAAAUUCUCUAAAGAACAAUUAUGCCUGUUAGACCAUUUCUGGGUUGGACUACACACUAACCCAAUGGAUGUAAAAAAACUUUCCCAUGUGGUGAAUUGUUUAGCAGAAUACUUUGCUGCUACACACAAGGAGGAUACCCAUUUUUUGUGGUAUUAAACGGACGGAUGGCUGGUGUCUUCAACACCUGGACGGACGUCUUUGACCAAAUCCAAGACUUCCCAGAGGCCCAAUGGAAGGGAUAUCACACUCUCCAUGAAGCUUUUGCAGUGGCAAGAUCUAGGAUUGGGCUAAACUAUUAUGUUUGCCCAGCCCUACGCCAUUAUCAAGACUCAUCUCAGGAGGAAUCCACUUCCCAAGGAUUUCCCGGGGAACAGGCAAUGGCAGAACUCUCUUGCUCCUCCUGCCAAGAUAAUGAGGAGACUAUAAAAAGGCUCACUUACAUCUUAGACAAACAGACCAGUGAGGAAAAGAAGAUGAUAGAAGAGAGUGACCGCCUACAGAGAGAGUUGAGUGCGGCAAAGAGAGAGAUAGAAAGGCUAAGAGUGAUUGAGAGAGCUUACAUAUCCACCACUCUCGUACCCCCACAAACACAACCCUCUCAAGCACAAACACAAACCCUGGCACAAAUGGCGCGGCCAUCUCAGGUCAGUGCGACGACCCAAUUAAAUGCCCCAAUGCCGCACCUACUCCCUUGCAAAAGGCCAAGGGCAAAGAGAUCUCAAGACCUUUGAUGGCUGAGAGUUUGCCAAAAAACUCUAUCCGUAGUACAGACUACGGCACAGACCACACAGUCUGGUAUCGUGAUCUGUGAAUCAUCACCUUCCCAGGCAAUCCAUGUUGGAAGUGUGGAUGAGUUACUGAUCCAUGUUAUGUCUGUCUGUUCUUUACUGUCACUUGUGUUGUAUGUAAGGAACCUAUCCGAAGUCAGUUGUUUUCCUUUAGACAGUUAAGUGUAUGUUGUAUUUGAAUUUGAAUGUAACUAGCCGUAGGGCAGUUACCAGCAGUUAGCAUGUCUUUAUUUGUAUGGGAUGUAUCAAACAUUGUAUGUUGUUGUUCUGUUCGAUGAAUGAAAGUUAAGUGUUCGUCAUC